AGAAAAGUAAGCUAAUAAAGCUAAUGGGUUCAUACCCCAUCAAUAGAGUGUAAUACUCUCUUCUCUA
rnacentral:tRNA from 1 species